GAACAUCAGCCCAGUAAUAAUUGAAUUUAGCACGGAUUCACUUUUCCCUAAGGAUUGCUUCCUAAUCUAGUUGAUUUCCAGAGGAAAGAGUCCCAGUGGCCCUUGCAGGUGAGGACUAUAUCUCUUGAGCAGUCUAGCCUUCCUGUGGCUGAAGAGCAAGCCCUGCUCAGCAGACCCGGGGUGACAGGUCUGACUUGUCUCUCCCAGGUGCGCCUCCCUGUGAAUGCCUGGAAGGGUGGAAAUGCUGCCCAUUGGAGCCACAACUAUGGGAACAAUAACCCAGGCUCAUACUGCACAGCCACCCAGGAAAGGCCUGGGUGAUUCCCAGAGACCGAGCCUGUCUCCCGUGAUGGGCCAUCCACAUGCCUUCUGGCCAUGGAGACAGUCAACUAUGGAUGAAAAUGGAGCCAAAAUAAACCUCUCCUCUUCUGAGUUAUGAGUGCUGAGAAUGGAAUCCCCAAGAUAGUGACUUCCCAUCACCCCAACCCUCCAGCAGCAAUGCUAUUUCACAGCCUGUGCCUCUUGGGUUCAGAAUGAUCAACCUGUGGCAGCUUGAGAAGAUGAAGCCUAAGUCAAGUUUGGAUGCAGCACAUAAAGAAAAGCACAUUUCCGCUGUGCAUCGUGGGAGCUGUUGAUCCAAGCCAGCUGCACGGGGCACUCUGACAGGUGGUCUGGUGGGGUGGCAGCUCAUGUUUACCUGUGCAGUGACAAUAUUCCCGAGGCCCCUGAAGAUGGGCAGGUGUGGAUGUGCACCAGGGCAGGUGAGGAAGAGGGGUCCUCUGCUUAAACCAUCAUGGUCUGCGAUCCCUUGGGGCUGCUUUUCUAGAAUGUUCUCCUGCGUCUUUGGAGUAUUAACAGAUGUGGUGGGGAUGUGCUCACUGGCAUUUUUUCUUUUAAAUACUAUCUAUCUCGUGUAUUUGACCCCUGUUGAUUUCCCACAGCAAAUGCUUGCAAAAGGAAUAUUCCCAAGGACAUAUGUUGGGACAUUCCAUAAAUGUCCAGUGGACAUUCCCGCGAUUCUCAGAGCAAGGGGAGAGGCUGGAAAACAGGAUGUAUGGAGAGGGCUUUCUUCACAGGAGCCCAACUGGGAGCGGCUGGUGCCUCUCCUCUCAGCUGUCUUCAGAGUGGGCACGUGACUCCCUAACUCUGCAGAUGGCUGAGCUGAGUUUCUUCCGCUGCGGCCAAGUCCCUAUCUGCGUGGACACGUUGUGUUUCAGCAAGACUCCUCUAGAGCCUUGUUUCUGAUGCACUGUAGGAGGGGCGAUCAGCAUGCACAUGUACAUUUAAAAAUGUAUUACAGUGAAAGAAUUUCCACGAGUGCCGCAGAAUGCUUCUCUCCUCUCUCUCAGAACACACUUCUCCUGCCACUCUUGCCCCUUUCUGAAGCAGUUCUGGAGUCUGCUUUCACAGCUGUCUUUACAGAGCAUGGUCAAAAGCACGGCAGAUGUUCUUGCUGACAGCGGAUAGACAAGCGACUCAUAAAAUCACGACGCUGCGGCCCUCCUCCACCUUAUUCACUGAGUCUGGUACCGUGCAACUUCUGACUCAGGAGAAGAAAAUACUUCGAGUUGACUCAGGACAUCAAGGCAGCCAGGACAGCGCAACUGGAGACAUUUACUAAGGAGCAUUUGCAGAGCUGCUUCGGAAAGAGGCCGGAAUGACAGGAAGUGUGUGUCCAAAGCAGGAGGGAGUAUUCUGAGGGAGAAAUGAUGGCAACAUGUCUUCUACUGUAAUUAAAAAAUUUCAACACUCACCAUAUGUGUUAGUCACACACAGCAUGUAGCUUAGCGUGAGACAAAAUAGAGUUCUGUUUUUGCCGGGGUACCGUUGCGCCUGUUCCGCACACACAAUCCUGAGAGUCACCUGCUGCCUCGCUUUCAUGUGUCCUUUCAGUUCCACCUUCCGAGUCACCAUCUUGCUCACUGUCUCACUUCUGUGCACACACACUUCUGCACUCACUCUUGGUCCUCACUUUGGAGCCGCAUGUUGCUGGCUGUGGCGCACUUAAAUAAACCAGAUUCCUAAACUGCAGCUGACACAUUCCCCACAGGUUGGAAUCCUGUUAGAACCCUAAAGCUUUUUGAUGGAGUUUGUCAGUUAUUUUAAUUAUUUGGCCCAAGUCAGUACAUUUUGGAUUUCCAUGAACCUAUUUUAAUACUCCAAAGGAAUUUUAUUAAAGCUCUCAGACUGGGUCUUCGCUUCGAUGGGAAGUGCUGGAUGUUGCACUGUGAGUGACUGGAGACAGCAUAUAGUCAGGCCUGGGUUCUGCACUGACACUUCCUGCUCCUCCGCUGCCCCUGACUGGGUGCUCUCUGUUCCCUGCUGGAGGAAUUUUCUAGAAAGGUCUGGAUAUCGCUUUGUCCCAGUCAGGUCUUCCUCUGUGCAUCCUUCAAGUCUAGUUGCCUCGCCCAGGCCAGAGGCUUUGGCAUCAGUCUAGGCCAUUGAUGGUGAACCUUUAGGAGCUUUCAAUGAUACAAACAGCCAGGCGCAGCACAAGGGCCAUAAGUUCGCCACCACUGGCCUAGGCUGUGGUGGAGAAGUCCUUUGUCUUCCCAUUUUAUUGGAUUAAAAAUCAAUGCUUGAUCACUGAGAA